rnacentral:rRNA from 1 species
AUGUUCACUAUGUUGACAGGGCUGCGGAAAUUGCGGGUACUGAAUAUGAGAGUAGCACGUGAGAGGAGUGGAUUUGGUUUUUCAUUCUCAUUCCCAGAUUCUAUUGGUCAGUUGAAGCAUCUGCGUUAUUUUGGUUUCAUGGUUCCAGUACUUCACAAGCUAACUUUACCAGGUGCUUUUACCAAGCUUUACCACAUGCAGGUGGUAGAUUUUGGUCAUUGCAAAUUUUUGGCUUUUUCUAGAGGUGAAGAUAUGAUGAACCUUGUCAACCUGCGCCGUGUAAUCAGCAAGGCAGAUCUUGAUUUUCCGAACGUUGGCAGGCUGACAUGGCUCCAAAUGUUACCAUUCUUCACAAUAAGUAAGAAGCAGGGGUACGAGUCUCACCAGCUGAAAUACCUAAACAAGCUUCAAGGCAAGCUGCAGAUCCACGGUCUUGAGAAUGUUGAGAGCAAGGAGGAGGCUGUUGAAGUAAGUCUUGCUGGCAAGGAAAAACUCACAGAACUGGUACUGGUCUGGGAUGAUAAGAACUGCAGUCCAGAAGUUCAAGCAGAGGUGCUUGAGGGUCUUUGUCCAUCAAAGUAUCUUGAAAGAUUAGAAAUCAGGGGUUACCGUGGUAAGAGGAUACCGAGUUGGAUGAUGGGUACGCAUAACGGCAGCCCGAAGAACCUGCAAGACCUUCACUUCAUCAGAUGCAGCUUGGAUGACUUACCAGGUAAUACGGAGCACCUCACAUCACUCAAGAAUGUGAUCCGGUAUAACUACAGCCAAUCCAAAUUGGCAAAAGAUUGA